rnacentral:rRNA from 1 species
AGCGAACGCUGGCGGCAGGCCUAACACAUGCAAGUCGAACGAACCUUUCGGGGUUAGUGGCGGACGGGUGGGUAAACCGUGGGAAAGUGCCUUUAGGUCCGGAAUAACUUAGGGAAACUUGUGCUAAUACCGGAUGUGCUCUUCGGGGGGAAGAUUUAUCGCCUUUAGAGGGGCGUGCGACCGAUUAGCUAGAUGGGUGAGGUAAUGGCUCACCAUGGCGACGAGGGGUAGCUGGUAGGAGAGAAUGAGUAGCUACAUUGGGGCUGAGACACGGCCGGAACUCCUGCGGGAGGCAGGAGUGGGUAAUCUAGCGCAAUGGGCGAAAUCCUGACGCAGCCAGGCCGGGAGAAUGAUGAAGGUCGGAGGAUUGUAAAGUUCUUUCACCGGGGACGAUAAUGACGGUACCCGGAGAAGAAGCCCCGGCUAACUUCGUG